UACGAAGGGGGCUAGCGUUGUUCGGAAUUACUGGGCGUAAAGCGAACGUAGGCGGUGUUCCAUGUCAGAGGUGAAAGCCUGGGGCUCAACUCCAGAAUUGCCUUUGAAACGGGGACGCUUGAGUCCGAGAGAGGAUGGCGGAAUUCCGUAGUGUAGAGGUGAAAUUCGUAGAUAUUAGGAAGAACACCGGUGGCGAAGGCGGCCAUCUGGCUCGGUACUGACGCUCAGGUUCGAAAGCGUGGGGAGCAAACAGG
rnacentral:rRNA from 1 species